AAAAAAACUAUCCCUGCCUUGUACUGUCAUAUGGCAGAGAACGUGGUCAGCUCCUUGCAAUUCUCGUUGCCCAUCAGGGUGCACGCCAAGGUGGACACCUGAAGCAGCUGUUAUAGCUGAGAACAUCUACAGAGGAGAUGGAGGUGGUUGUAGUGUCGACAGAGGAGGAGGACGAGGGAGAGCAGGCAGGACCUUCCCAAAACUGCUCCACCAGCAUCUUUUGUGGGGGAGAAUGUGGAGGCCGAAGAGGCUUCUACCUGUCAGAGGCCGCAAUCGCCCCCCCCCCCCCUAGCUCCUGAUGAGGAAGAAGAGGAGGAGGAGGAAGUUGUCCACUGCCCCCGCCAGGAGGUUCUCACUAAAUAAAAUAAAAAUUGAUCCAGCUGCAGUGGGACGACCAAGUCGCAAUGCUGGAAAUCAAAACCAGCAAAAAAAAUAAUUAUGUAGCAGCAAAGGAGGAUCCAACAGCAGCAGCGGCUUCUGGAGAAGAAGGUCAAUCAGCUGGAGGAGCAGCACGAAAAGGGGCUCCAGGAGU